ACGGGUGAGUAACACGUGGGAACGUACCCUUCGGUUCGGAAUAACGCUGGGAAACUAGCGCUAAUACCGGAUACGCCCUUAUGGGGAAAGGUUUACUGCCGAAGGAUCGGCCCGCGUCUGAUUAGCUAGUUGGUGGGGUAAUGGCCUACCAAGGCGACGAUCAGUAGCUGGUCUGAGAGGAUGAUCAGCCACACUGGGACUGAGACACGGCCCAGACUCCUACGGGAGGCAGCAGUGGGGAAUAUUGGACAAUGGGCGCAAGCCUGAUCCAGCCAUGCCGCGUGAGUGAUGAAGGCCUUAGGGUUGUAAAGCUCUUUUGUCCGGGACUAUAAUGACGGUACCGGAAGAAUAAGCCCCGGCUAACUUCGUGCCAGCAGCCGCGGUAAUACGGAGGGGGCUAGCGUUGCUCGGAAUCACUGGGCGUAAAGGGCGCGUAGGCGGCCAUUCAAGUCGGGGGUGAAAGCCUGUGGCUCAACCACAGAAUUGCCUUCGAUACUGUUUGGCUUGAGUAUGGCAGAGGUCAGUGGAACUGCGAGUGUAGAGGUGAAAUUCGUAGA
rnacentral:rRNA from 1 species